rnacentral:rRNA from 1 species
UUGGGAAUAUUGGACAAUGGGGGCAACCCUGAUCCAGCGACGCCGCGUGUGUGAAGAAGGCCUGCGGGUUGUAAAGCACUUUUAGUGGGGAUGAAAAGCCUAGAGCUAAUACCUCUGGGUCUUGACCUAACUCACAGAAAAAGCACCGGCUAACUCUGUGCCAGCAGCCGCGGUAAUACAGAGGGUGCGAGCGUUAAUCGGAAUUACUGGGCGUAAAGCGUGCGUAGACGGUUUCGUAAGUCGGAUGUGAAAUCCCCGGGCUCAACCUGGGAAUUGCAUUCGAGACUGCUAGGCUAGGGUGCGGAAGAGGGAAGCGGAAUUUCCGGUGUAGCGGUGAAAUGCGUAGAUAUCGGAAGGAACAUCAGUGGCGAAAGCGGCUUCCUGGUCCAGCACCGACGUUCAGGCACGAAAGCGUGGGGAGCAAACAGGAUUAGAUACCCUGGUAGUCCACGCCAUAAACGAUGAGAACUAGACGUUGAGAGGGUAAGCCUCCCAGUGUCGUAGCUAACGCGCUAAGUUCUCCGCCUGGGGAGUACGGCCGCAAGGU